GGCCCCCAUAGCCCAAUUGGCAGAGCGCGGACUUAAAAUCCGCCGAGUGUGGGUUCGAGUCCCACUGGGGCACG
rnacentral:tRNA from 1 species